rnacentral:rRNA from 1 species
GUGUUAGGGCACGACACCGGAGAGGGAGCCUGAGAAACGGCUACCACAUCCAAGGAUGGCAGCAGGCGCGCAAAUUACCCAAUCCCGACACGGGGAGGUAGUGACAAUAAAUAACAAUACGGGGUUCUUUCGGAUCUCGUAAUUGGAAUGAGUACAAUUUAAAUCUCUUAACGAGGAACAAUUGGAGGGCAAGUCUGGUGCCAGCAGCCGCGGUAAUUCCAGCUCCAAUAGCGUAUAUUAAAGUUGUUGCAGUUAAAAAGCUCGUAGUUGAAUUUCGGGAUCAAUACAUCUGUCGUGCCUUCGGUACGUACGGGUAUAAUUGGUUUCUACCUUCUGAUGAACCUUGAUGCCAUUAAUUUGGUGUCUUGGGGACUCAGGACUGUUACCUUGAAAAAAUUAGAGUGUUUAAAGCAGGCAUACGCUUGAAUACAUUAGCAUGGAAUAAUGAAAUAGGACGUUCGAUUCUAUUCUGUUGGUUUCUAGGAUCGACGUAAUGAUUAAUAGGGAUAGUUGGGGGCAUUAGUAUUCAAUUGUCAGAGGUGAAAUUCUUGGAUUUAUUGAAGACUAACUACUGCGAAAGCAUUUGCCAAGGAUGUUUUCAUUAAUCAAGAACGAAAGUUAGGGGAUCGAAGACGAUCAGAUACCGUCGUAGUCUUAACCAUAAACUAUGCCGACUAGGGAUCGGAUGAUGUAA